GUCUUAGGUUUGUUGGGGACAAUUCUCUGAGGUCUUCAUUUGGUAAAGUCUCCCGGGGAGAAUUUAAGAACUGCUACAGACCAUCUUCGUCACCCUCAUUAAACCAGACGGCUGAACAAACUGUCACAUUGGGAACCUGAGCUCAUAAGUAAGACGACCAGCUGUAUAUUCAGGCCACGACUUCAUCAAGGCACAUGGAGUUGGUGUGCAGUCUGGUGAUUCAACACUUCCAUGUAUGACUCAGUGCUCGGAGGCCCGAGAGAACUACACGACUCCGGGCAGUUUUGGAGACUUACACAGAAGCCUGCGGCUGGACCCCCCGUGCAGUCAAGGUGGGAAGUCCCAGCAGCACCCUAGCCAGGGACACGAGGGACACUCCUCACCAGGCUGCCCGUCCUGCCAUGUCCCAGAGAAGACCGCAGGACCCUCCGCCAAGACUCAUGUGGGACUUCGCUCAAGCCUUUGCCCUUUGCGGUUCAUGCGAGGCUGUGCAAAGUCGCCAUGGCGUCAUGACCGACGGAGCUGUCCCCUACAACUGCCCCGCCCCAUCUUUCACGUGAUCAUCUAAGAAUUCUUCUUAGAAGCCCAGGGCACCCCAUCAGAUGCCCCAAGUAACUGUACUGAGAGGGGCUUGGAAGAAAGACUUUCUAUUUGUCUUGAGUGCAAACAGAUGGGAGUGACCAUGGCUAUGACUCCCAGUAGAAUGACCAGACCUGGUCUGAUCCCAGACAGACCACAGCCAGGCUCCUGGUCCAGAGGCAAACCCCCUAAAUAUGUCCUGAGUCCAGGUGGGGCAAGAGGUGUUGGCAACCGCAGGCAGCCUGCCUUGGGGUGGCCAACAGGAAGUCCGGGGCCGUGGGAUUGUCCGUCCCCAGUCAUGCCAGGGAGUUGAGACUGGUUUGUGUGUGGCAGGCAAGUACCACAGAAAUGGUACCCUAGGGGCGCCUGGGUGGCUCAGAUGGUUAAGCAACU